UACGAAGGGGGCUAGCGUUGCUCGGAAUUACUGGGCGUAAAGCGCACGUAGGCGGAUAUUUAAGUCAGGGGUGAAAUCCCGGGCUCAACCCCGGAACUGCCUUUGAUACUGGGUAUCUUGAGUGUGGUAGAGGUGAGUGGAAUUGCGAGUGUAGAGGUGAAAAUUCGUAGAUAUUCGCAGGAACACCAGUGGCGAAGGCGGCUCACUGG
rnacentral:rRNA from 1 species